rnacentral:snoRNA from 1 species
AAGCAACACUCUGUGGCAGAUAACCUAAUUGUCUACCUCAAUUUAAGCUUGCUACAGUAAAUAUAGUCUACCCUAUUCCAGUGAUUUCAGUGUGUGAGGUCAUCUGUUAUAUAGACGCUAACAUC